ACCCUAAUCCAAGUUACAACUCCCUCUUCAGCCUUCACGUCUAAACCCCAAAACCUCUCUGUUUUCUAAUAUAUGCCAAAACUCAAUCCUCCCGCCGCUGCUGCCGCCAUGGAUCACCGCCACUACAUCGAUUUCUCUUUGCCUCUCCAUCAUCGCUCAAUCUAGCCCAUCAUGUUUUAUUUUGAGGUUCCAGGGAUGAAGGAGAUCAAAAUUUCAAAGGCCAAUUUGAUGUAAGCCGUGGCUUUUGUGAUGGGUGGAAUUCAAGAAGCCUGCAAUGAUAUUUAAAUAUACAUAAUACCAAGUUUUGUAUUUUUAUAUUCCCAGUAUGUGAUAUAUUGUUUUAACCAAUCCAGUUGAUUGUAUUUUUAUACUCCCAGUAUUUGAUAAUUGUUUUAACCAAUCCAGUUGAUUGUAUUAGUUGCGGUGGAGGUUGGCUAUUAUGGUCAAAUCGAAACCAAAGGCAAGUUAGCUGGACCUACCAAUUUGAGCAUUGGCCACAUCCUUAAUGAUGUUAGACUACUUGGUAGUUACUACUUGGUAGUUGGUUCUUCUAUUAGGAAUAUAUUUUUCUCUUGUGGCUCCUUGAACAAACGGACCAACAGAGAAGAUAGCAUUUGAAGCAAAGAACUAGCUGGGUUUGCUAGACAAUGAUGUAUUGGAUGGAGGAGUAUCCCCCAUGUAUUAAGACUCUACUAAACAGUAAUGUACCUGCUCAUUGAAAAAAAAAAAAAAAAAA